UAUAAUAUAGUUUAAUUAAAACGUAAAUUUGUGGUAUUUAAGAUAAGGAAGUUUUAUUAUUG
rnacentral:tRNA from 1 species